rnacentral:sRNA from 1 species
GCCGGAAGUGGAGGUGCACACCUGUAAUCCUAGUGACUUGGGAGGCUGAGGCAGGAAGAUCUCAAAUUUGAGGCCAGCCUCAA